rnacentral:pre_miRNA from 1 species
UGGCCUAGUUCUGUGUGGAAGACUAGUGAUUUUGUUGUUUUUUGAUAACUAAAUUGACAACAAAUCACAGUCUGCCAUAUGGCACAGACCA